UGGGGAAUUUUGGACAAUGGGGGAAACCCUGAUCCAGCCAUCCCGCGUGUGCGAUGAAGGCCUUCGGGUUGUAAAGCACUUUUGGCAGGAAAGAAACGUCAGGGGUUAAUACCCCGUGAAAUUGACGGUACCUGCAGAAUAAGCACCGGCUAACUACGUGCCAGCAGCCGCGGUAAUACGUAGGGUGCAAGCGUUAAUCGGAAUUACUGGGCGUAAAGCGUGCGCAGGCGGUUCGGAAAGAAAGAUGUGAAAUCCCAGAGAUCAACUAUGGAACUGCAUAUUUAACUACCGGGCUAGAGUGUGUCAGAGGGAGGUGGAAUUCCGCGUGUAGCAGUGAAAUGCAUAGAUAUGCGGAGGAACACCGAUGGCGAAGGCAGCCUCCUGGGAUAACACUGACGCUCAUGCACGAAAGCGUGGGGAGCAAACAGG
rnacentral:rRNA from 1 species